rnacentral:rRNA from 1 species
GGAUUGAACGCUGGCGGCAUGCCUAACACAUGCAAGUCGAACGGGAGUAGCAAUACUCUAGUGGCGGACGGGUGAGGAAUACGUAGGAAUUUGCCCUUAAGUGGGGGAUAACCCGGGGAAACCCGGAUUAAUACCGCAUGACCUCGAAAGAGCAAAGUGGGGGAUCGCAAGACCUCACGCUUUUGGAGAAGCCUACGUCGGAUUAGCUAGUUGGUGAGGUAAUGGCUCACCAAGGCGACGAUCCGUAACUGGUCUGAGAGGAUGAUCAGUCACACCGGAACUGAGACACGGUCCGGACUCCUACGGGAGGCAGCAGUGGGGAUAUGGACAAUGGGCGCAAGCC